UCGUGAAACACUGUCCACAGAUUUUUUGACAGUUAAUACUUAUUUAUAGACAAACAGGCAAGAGCACAACACAUGUACCUACAAGUACAGCGGUUGUCUUCUGUCCUGACCUGGUAAAGCCAGUUUCAGCAGUUUUUGAUGGCUAAGCUUUUUCUUUCUCCCUUUUUAAAUCUUAUUUACAUUGAUCGUGUAUGUGAUAGUGAUUUAUCUUCUUGUUUUCGGUGUAUGUAAAUGUUAGCGUUAGUUGCUCCUGAUCAUCACUCAAACAAAAACUAGCCAAAGGGUUUGUAGUGACUUUGUACCCAAAGGUGUUCCGGUUCGGAUAUACAAUAAUUUUAGCGCUUUGAGUGUUUUGUUAAUUUGUUGCAGUAGGAUAUAAAUAAUUCGAUCACCAUCGCGUUGAAUGAAUUGUAUAUUCAAUCCUUAACACGUUAUGGAGUUGGUCGUACAUGAGCAUUAUAUAUCCACAUGCAAGGUAUGCAUUGUUUUUGUCAUCAUUUCUAAUUUUUAAAGCAAUGAGCAUCAAAUAAGCCAUGAUAGACGCUUUAAACUGUUAAUUAAAGUAGUUGAUUCACUAUUACGAUUUACGAGUACGAACCAUUCUCCCGAACCGGAAGCCAGCACCAUGUCAAGUCGUACCGGUCCGGAGGAAGACAGAUCAGACGUAAACUGCAAAGCUUUUAAAUCCGUUUGGAAAGUCUUUGGACUUUAAGGUUGUCAGUGGAAGUACUGACUUAAUUACACCAGUUGUCCAUCCGCUAAAGUUUUGUAGUAACGGUAGACGUGGUUGCCAAUGAACUGCAAGAAUUUGCUUCGUCUCCUAACUUAUCCAGCUCUUGAGAUCUUUCCGAGUUGCCAUGAAAUGUAUCGGCCACAGAAGGUGGACGUCGUGUUCCAUGCUUGCAUGUACCCAGGCAGCGAUGACUGGAAUGGCAGCGAAGUUUCGGCAUCGAAACUCGGAAUGUCCAGCGUGGUCAACAAAUAAUACUGGGCGAUGGCUUUAUCGAUGCAAGUUACGAUUCCAUAAAGAAGACAGGUUACGACAAGUAUUCGGGUAACUCUGACGGAGAUCGCCGGUGACAGAGGCGUCACAACGGCACGCAACCGCUCGACGGAGAACACCACCAAAACCCUAAUAAUUAAGUAAAACUUAUUCGUCUAGUAAAAACAUAAUUAAAUUUUUCACACUGGUACACUAGAAUAAUAAUAAGUGCAAUACCAAUCCGCGAAUUUUGGGAAUCCGGACUGCAACCAGAUGUAUAAGCCUUGUACAUAAUCGUUAACAUAGUCGAAAGUGUAACUGCUGUCGAAAAUGGCCGGACUAAUUAGGAAUAGGUAUAUAGGAAAAAAUAUCCACCUGUGAAAAUGAGGCCAUUUUCUUGUACGAGUGUUUAUUACCGAUUUCAAAUUUAAUUACACAGACCGAAUAUAGACGGUUGUAAGCGGUACUGCUGAAAACACCAACGUUUCGACAUAUUGCAGAAAUGCUACUACCUGUUGCCUUUGCCAUUAAUUCAUGUUUAUGCACAAUGCAAUAAUUAAGGCAAUUCUGUCGACGUUUCUUUUGAUCAGUCACACUAUUACAGCAUUGUACUAACUAUAGAAAUAACUUCAAAUAAACAAUAGUGAUAUUCCAUUGUGCCUACCGCACCAAAAAUUUUUACUAUAUAUCGUAGCCUUGCUGGUACUUCAAAAUAUGGCUGUUAUAACGCUUUUGCAUACGAGUUUCUUUGACAGGGUCAGAUUAAUAACAUACGUAUGUAAUAUAUUACUUUUAAUAGUUAACUAUGUGCUUACAUUUAAUGCAAAGUACGGUGAUUACUGAUUACCAUGCAUUAACUUACAGCGUCAAGAGAUCAGCAACCGCUAGUCCCAGUAAUAAAAUAUCGGCACUUUGUGCAUUUUUAAUGGCUCCAAAAACUGCAAUAUUUAUAAAAUUUCCAACAGUGCAGAAAAACAAUAGAAUGGGAUAACAGAUGAUGAAACUAUACUCCGAACGUUCCUGCGCUGUGGUUUCAUUAUAAUCCUCCGUCCAAGGACACGUGUAAUCAGGUGUACUGUAGUUGAUUGAAAGAUUUGCUUCCAUUUUCAGCAAUAAUAUUCGAAAUUAAGCAAAUCUUUAGCGCGCUUGCAUUUACAGUCAUUUUCUGAGUUUUAAAAUUCUUGAAUUUUUCGCUGAUGUAGUCGUUAACAGUAGAUCCAUAAUAUCAGUGAAAACAAUAGCCGUAAAUAAUCUUUUCGACGAAAAAUUUGCCCGUCGGCAAGCUUAAGCCAUGUGUUGUACAGAGUACUUGUACACAUCUACCAACAUGAUCGUGUAAGUACAAUACAUAAAGUGUAUAAAGCAUACGCUCCGAAGAAGUAGCUUAACAAGUUCACGACGGAGCGGCUUCUCAAA